UAUCUUUUGUAGUAUUCGAAAACGGCCGGCGAAUCUAUCGUACCGACUUAAUAACUCGGUGGAGAGGUGUUCGUCAGUGAAAUCUACCGGGCGGCGGGCCGGAUUCGCAGUUGAAGUCGGACUCGUACACGGUGACGUAGCCCUUUUUUCUCCGAAAUCGGCACGAUUUUUAAAUCGAAAAUUUGUAUUAUUUCCCGUCUUUUCCCGUCCAAACGUUCAUAUUAUUUUGAAUCACGUCGACCGGUAUAAACGUGCAGCCAUUACAGUGACGGUGAAUUUC